AACCCCCGUCAGUGAACAAAGAGACACCUCAUUGGUGGUGUUGCUCUUACAUCAGUCAGGUGCAGAACAGAUGACAUUCCUUUGUUCAUCCUAGCUUGAUGCCUGGGUCAGUGGCCAAAGAUGUUUCAUGUCUAGGGCACAUAA
rnacentral:snoRNA from 1 species